AGUUCGGUAUGAAACAAGAUUGAACGCUGGCAGGAUGCUUGCGUGAUCGGAGCAGCGGCACGGACUUCGGUCUGGUGGCGAGUGGCGAACGGGUGAGUAAUGUAUCGGAACGUGCCCUGGUAGCGGGGAUAACUGCACCCGUGUAAUACCGCAUACGCCCUUCAAGGAAAGCGAGGCCUUCGGGCUCGCACUGUCAAACAGCCGACUAUCGGAUUGCUUGGAUUGGUGGGGUAACGCAGCUCUGAAGGCGACGAUCCGUAGCUGGUUUGAGAGGACGACAACCACACUGGGACUGAGACACGGCCCAGACUCCUGGGAGGCAACAGUGGGUGAUUUUAAUGGGGAAACCCUGAUCAGCCAUCCCGCGUGUGCGAUGAGGCCUUCAGGUUGUAAGCACUUUUGGCAGAAAGAAACGGCACGGGAUAAUACGUACGUAAUAAUGCAGAAUAAGCACCGGCUAACUACGUGCCAGCAGCCGCUUGCGGAAGUAAUACGUAGGUUGCAACAUUAAUCGGAAUUACUGGGCGUAAAGCGUGCGCAGGCGGUUCCGGGAAAAGAAAGAUGUUAAAUCCGGAAAACUAUGCUGAGACUGCAUUUUUAACUACCGAGCUAGGGAGUGUGUCAGAGGGAGGUGGAAUUCCGCGUGUAGCAGUGAAAUGCGUAGAUAUGCGGAGGAACACCGAUGGCGAAGGCAACCUCCUGGGAUAACACUGACGCUCAUGCACGAAAAAGCGUGGGGAGCAAACAGGAUUAGAUACCCUGGUAGUCCACGCCCUAAACGAUGUCAACUAGCUGUUGGGGCCUUCGGGCCUUGGUAGCGCAGCUAACGCGUGAAGUUGACCGCCUGGGAGCUACGGUCGCAAAGAUUAAAACUCAAAGGAAUUGACGGGGACCCGCACAAGCGGUGGAUGAUGUGGAUUAAUUCGAUGCAACGCGAAAAACCUUACCUACCCCUUGACAUGUCUGGAAUCCCGAAGAGAUUUGGGAGUGCUCGCAAGAGAACCGGAACACAGGUGCUGCAUGGCUGUCGUCAGCUCGUGUCGUGAGAUGUCGGGUUAAGUCCCGCAACGAGCGCAACCCUUGUCAUUAGUUGCUACGAGGCGCUCUAAUGAGACUGCCGGUGACAAACCGGAGGAAGGUGGGGAUGACGUCAAGUCCUCAUGGCCCUUAUGGGUAGGGCUUCACACGUCAUACAAUGGUCGGGACAGAGGGUCGCCAACCCGCGAGAAGGAGCCAAUCCCAGAAACCCGAUCGUAGUCCGGAUCGCAGUCUGCAACUCGACUGCGUGAAGUCAGAUCGCUGGUGUCGCGGAUCAGCAUGUCGCGGUGAAUACGUUCCCGGGUCUUGUACACCGCCCGUCACACCAUGGGAGUGGGUUUUACCAGAAGUAGUUAGCCUAACCGUAAGGAGGGCGAUUACCACGGUAGGAUUCAUGACUGGGGUGAAGUCGUAACAAAGGAGUAA
rnacentral:rRNA from 1 species